GCGGGUAUAGUUCAUCGGUAGAAUGCGACCUUCCCAAGGUUGAAAGGUGGGUUCGACUCCCAUUACCCGCUCCA
rnacentral:tRNA from 1 species